AAAAGAAAAAAGAGGGGAAAUGCAAAAAUUAAAGGUACUUUCUUUUUCAUGGAGACCUCCUCCUCCUUUCUCUGCUGUGCCUGCUCCCUCUGCUUCCCCUGCAUGUCCUUAUCCUUCUUUGCUUCUAACUGACUGUAGUGGCUCCCAGGCAAGGGGGAGGUGAUGAUCUUUUAGAGAAUAGAUUUCCCUGUAAAGGGAGAUGAAGGUACAACUUUCUACAACUACCUGCUCUAUUUGAGGAUACAAGUUUGCCUGGUGGCCUAGCCCUGAGUCUACUUUAUGUUUUAGACCAGAUUCCACCUCCAGGAGGUCUUAUCAUCUACAUACCACACAACACACAACUAGAAAGGCAGAAAUAAUAAAGAGACAUUAUCAUGGGAUGAUUGAGAACUUGGAUAAAAGACUGUGCUGUGGUUUGAAUGUGUCCUCCAAAUUUCAUGUGUUGGAAACUUAAUCCCCAAAUUCGUAUUUGAUAGUAUUUGGAGGUGAGGCCUUUGGGAGGCAGUUAGGAUUAGAUAAUUUCAUUAGAGUAGGGCCCCCAUGAUGGGACUGGUGGCUUUAUAAGAAGAGGAAGAGAUACCUUAGCUGACAUGCUGUUACUCUUUUGCCAUGUGAUACCUUCCAGCACGUUAUGUCACAGCAAGAAGGCCCUCACUAGAUGCUGGCUCCUUGAUGUUGUACUUCCCAGCCUCCAGAAUCAUAAGUUUACAGCCCCAUGUGUGGAGAUGUGUACUGGCUACUGCAUGGAAUUUUGCAACGAGCAGACUUUGAUCCUUUGAUGGAGCAAGGAUGUUGGUGCCCAGAAGAUUACCACAUCAGGGGUAUGGUGGCCAAGAGAAGUUGACUAUCCACCAUCCCCCACAAAUAUGGAUAAUCUGAGGAUAGAGGUUCCUUGAAACCUUUCUUGUAAAGAGGAACUGGAAGAUAUUGCAGGUGUUCACUCAUACGACAGGUGAGUACCUCAUUAAUUUCCAUCAGUGACUUGUUCAGGCAUUCUAAAAAUUUAUUGGCAUGGAUCCAAGGUCAUAUAAAAAUUGCCCUCUGGCUCUAACCACCUUUAUUUUAGCUCUCUCACUGACUAUCCAAACCCAAAUUAAGGAAAAGGUAGUAGGAUGGCAAAGGCAAACUAUUAUUCAAAUCUUAGCAGCAGCUACUCAGUUUUGGGAUAAUCUAAGAACAAAAAAGGAAAAAAAGUGAUUAAAGUUUGCUUUGUUCUCUGCUUAGUUAGAACUCUUUACUGAAGGGAAUAACCCCGCAAUGACCAAUCCAGAAAGGGAAGAAAGAAAGAUGGGAGGCUAUAUGUUGUUAUUGCAAGAAGCCAGGGUGUUGGAAGAGGGAUUGCAGAAGGACACUCUGGAUGAUGCAGAAACUGCAAAGAUAAGAGAAUUAGGAGAGCCUAGAACAAAACUUUCAGCGAGGAAAUACUUGGCAGAUGGUUCAAAAUUGACAAAUUGAGGGAAUCCCAAAGGUGAGAACUAGUGGACUGUAAUGUGUCAAUAACUUUUCCCAUCUGGUGACAGGUUAAUACAGGUUAUGAAUGUUUUGGGUCAGCCUUCUACUUGUCCCCUUUCCUCUGUCACUCCCAUAGAGAUAGGUCCUUUGACUAAGGAACAUGUGUUCUUCAUUUCUCCUGAAUCUCCUAUAAACCUACUGGUGAGAGACCUGCUGUGCAACUUAAUAGCUACUGGAUUCUGUACUGUGGAUGAAGUGUCUGUGGAGCCUUUUGGGAGAAGGCACCUGAUUUGGAUACUAUAUACUUCUGAAAGAAAAGAGGUAUGGCAAAGAGUGGCAGUCUCAUACUGUGCUGGAAAAGUCCCCACAAGCUGAAACAAGUCACUUAAAUGUGAAGUAAAAAACUAUAAAUCUUCUAGAAUAAAACACAGGAGAAAAUCUUCAUGACCUUGAGUUAGGCAAAGAUUCUUAGAUACAACACCAAAAGCAUGACCCAUAAAAGAAAAAAUAAAUAAACUGAACUUCAUAAAAAAUGAAAAAAAAAUUGCAUUUCAAAAUAUUCCAUUGAGGAAAUGAGAAGACAAGCCACAGACUGGGAGAAGAUAUUUGCAAAUCAUAUAUCUGAUAAAGGACUUGUAUCCAGAAUGCAUUAAGAACUCUGACAACUCAAUCAUAAUAAUGAUAAUAAUAAUCAGACAACUGAAUUUAAAAGUAAACAAAAGACUUGAAGGAGCAUUUAAUCAAAGGGAAUGACAAUAUUGGAUUAAUUUGAGAUAUAAAAAAUAGCUUAACAAAAAGAUGAGCCAUGGCUAUGUGUCAACAAUAUCCUUUGUUGAGACCUCAAUUAAACAUAAUAAAACCAGUUAUAAAAGAAUUAGAAAAACAUGUAAUCCCCAUGCUUUGGAAGGCCAAGUUAGGAGGAUCAGUUGAGGUUAGGAGUUUGAGACCAGUCUGGGCAACAUAGUGAGACCUCGUCUCUACAAAAAAUAAAAAUAAAAAAAAAAUUAGCCGGGCGUGAUGGCAGGUGCCUGUAGUCCUAGCUACUUGGGAGGCUGAGAUGGGAGGAUUACCUGAACCUUGGAGUUUGAGGUUACAGUGAGCCAUGAUCACACCACUGCACUCAAGCCUGGGUAACAGAGUGAGACCCUGUCUCAAACAAACAAACAAACAAACAAAAACAAAGGAUAAUUUAAAAGGGGUACUUACCCUGUAGUAAUCCCACAUUUCCAGUAAAGAAGAAAGGUAAAUUUGAUAAAGGUGGGUAAGCUCUGUAUAGAUUUGUACUGAUUUUAGAGAAGUAAAUUAAUUUGUUGUCCCAUUAACACCUGUAGUUACUAAUCCUUCAUCUAUUCUGAUGUCAGUAUCGUCUGAAAAAAAUAUUUUUGUUUUUCUAUGCUCUGCCCUCCCUUCCUCUCUCUCUCUCCCUCCCUCCCUCUCUCCUUCCCUCCCUCAUUUCCUUCCUCCCUUCCUCCCUUCUUUCCUUCCUUCCCUCCUUCCCUUCUUCCCUUUUUUCCUUCCUUCUUUUGUUCCUUCCCCCUCUUUCUUUUCUUGUAAGUGGACAAGUCUAAAUUCUUAUUUGCUCAUAAAGGAGUCUGAUGCUUAUGGCAGACAAUUCCUCAAGGGUUUUGAGACUCCCCCUACUGUUUUAUCUAGUCAUUUACAGAAACACUUAGAGAAAUUUGUUUCACCAGAAGGAUCUAUAAUUUUUCAAAAUAUAGAUGAUUUUGCUGGUAGCUUCAGAAACUAAGGAGCAAUGCAAAACGAACACUUUGACUUUGUUACAAUUCUUUGCUUCACAAGGGCAUAAGGCCUCACUAGAUAAAUUGCAACAUUGCUUUUCUGAGUAAACUAUUUAAGGCAUCUGUGUUCAGCUGUGGGCCUUAGAGUGGUACAAUCUAAGAGUCAUCUCAUUUUGCAGAUCUAACGGCCAAAUGUAGUGCUGUGGUUGGAAUGUUUAUGUCUCAUUCUCUCCCCAAUUCGUAUGUUGAACCCUAAUCUCCAAUGUGAUGGUAUUAGAAAUAGGGCCUUAGGAGGUGAUUAGGGUGUUGCCCUAAUGAAUGGGUUGAAUGCCAUUAUAAAAAAAGGCCUCAGAGACCUUCCUGGCUCCUUCCAUCAUGUGAGGAUGCAACCAGAAGGCACCAUCUAUGAGGAAGUGAAUCCUUACCAGACACUGAAUUUACCAGCAUCUUGAUCUUGUACUUUCUAGCCUCCCAAAAUGUGAUUAAUAAAUGCCUAUUGUUUGUAAACUA